GCGGGUGUAGCUCAGUUGGUUAGAGCGCCAGAUUGUGGCUCUGGAGGCCAAGGGUUCGACUCUCUUCAUUCGCCCCA
rnacentral:tRNA from 1 species